CACGGAGGAUGCGAGCGUUAUCCGGAUUUAUUGGGUUUAAAGGGUGCGUAGGCGGCUUUUUAAGUCAGCGGUGAAAUUUUGCAGCUUAACUGUAACAGUGCCGUUGAUACUGGGGAGCUAGGAUUUGGUUGCUGUGGGUGGAAUGUGUGGUGUAGCGGUGAAAUGCUUAGAGAUCACACAGAAUAUCGAUUGCGAAGGCAGCUCACAAAGCCAAGAUUGACGCUGAGGCACGAAAGUGUGGGGAUCAAACAGGAUUA
rnacentral:rRNA from 1 species